AGAGUCCUGAGAUGUACGUGAGCACUAUACGUUUUGAGCCAACACUUUUUGAUUGGGAGCUACCGUUGAUUAUUGGAUUGCAUGCCUUCAUGGUAAGGAAGUGAGAAGAUAAACACAUGGCACCCACCUGCCAUGCAGGUUCAAAGCAAAAGGGACAACGGCAUUAUUGGGAUUCUU
rnacentral:other from 1 species